GCCUCUGGCUCAACUGGAGGAGGUCGUUCGAUACUGCGAAACUAGAGGUUGGGAGAGGAAAGCGGAAUUCCCGGUGUAGUGGUGGAAUGCGUAGAUAUCGGGAGGAACACCAGUGGCGAAGGCGGCUUUCUGGCCCACACCUGACACUAAGAUGCGAAAGCGUGGGGAGCGAACGGGAUUAGAUACCCCGGUAGUCCACGCUGUAAACGAUGGGUACUGGGUAUUGGUGGUAUUGACCCCAUCAGUGCCGAAGCUAACGCGUUAAGUACCCCGCCUGGGGACUACGACCGCAAGGUUAAAACUCAAAGGAAUUGACGGGGCCCCGCACAAGCAGCGGAGCGUGUGGUUUAAUUCGACGCAACACGAAGAACCUUACCUGGGCUUGACAUGUUGGUAGUAGUGAAGCGAAAGUGGAACGAUCCUUCGGGAAGCCAUCACAGGUGCUGCAUGGCUGUCGUCAGCUCGUGCCGUGAGGUGUUGGGUUAAGUCCCGCAACGAGCGCAACCCUCGCUGUUAGUUACAAGUGUCUAACAGGACUGCCGGUAUCAAACCGGAGGAAGGUGGGGAUGACGUCAAGUCAGCAUGGCCUUUAUGUCCAGGGCUACACACACGCUACAAUGGUCGGUACAGAGGGUCGCCAAACCGCGAGGUGGAGCUAAUCCCACAAAACCGGCCUCAGUUCGGAUUGCAGGCUGCAACCCGCCUGCAUGAAGCUGGAGUUGCUAGUAAACGCCGGUCAGCUAUACGGCGUUGAAUAUGUUCCCGGGGCUUGUACACACCGCCCGUCACGUCAUGGGAGUCGGUAACACCUGAAGCCGGUGGGCUAACCGCAAGGAGGCAGCUGUCGAAGGUGGGACUGGUGACUGGGACGAAGUCGUAACAAGGUAACC
rnacentral:rRNA from 1 species